rnacentral:lncRNA from 13 species
AUGCAGUGGGGUCUUUGCCUCUCCCGCAGAAGGAGGGGUCAGGCAGGAGGAAGAGGAGACUUCCUGGUUCCCCAAAGGCUAUGCAUACUCUCCUCUCCUGUCUCUCCUUCCCUGCAUGGCCCAGUGAGGGAGGCUGGGCAGAUUAGAUGCAGCUGGUUGGCACCAUGGGCCCAAGAUGAACAAGCCUGUCUCCCUGGUGCUCCCCACAUGGGGUUGGAAGCAAACGCCAGAGGUCAUGCCCAGGCUGGGUGCCAAAGUCAAGAUGGGCAGUCAGUUUCCACUGUCAUCAGGGUAGAAUACCCAUGCCCACCUGCAGACCCUGCCCUACCUACGUCUGAGACCAUCCUCACGAGCAGCAAGUAUCUUGACAACCUCCGUAAUGCCAGCCCUUGGGGCUAGGAUGACUUCCUACCACCCACAGGCCUAAGCCUAAUAUGGCCAGGUCACCCUUAGGGUCAUGUGCCCGCAAGUUGAUCCCUAGAUUGGCUCAGAAAAAAGGACAAGAUUCCUACCUCCGUUUCCCUGCCCAGCACUCCAUUGCCCCACACACCUUGAGCCCUGCUCUGACCCCACUGUCUGCUUAGUGGGGACCCUGGCAUCCUGCCAGUGUUUCCCAGUCCCUUCCCUCGAAGCUGGAGCUUGCAUCCCAGACUACGCAGAGCUUGCCACAUCUGUUGGACCCUGGACAGAGGGUUUGGUUGGUCUUGCCAGGGCCACACCUGCCUUGUUCCUCCGGUCCCAGGACCUUCACCCUUCCAGGGAGCCUGUCAGCUGCGAUCACUGCGGCACCAGUAGGUGUCACACCCGAAUUGUCUCCUUUCUUCCCGCCUCUUUUCAUAUUUAUUCAGUGGACUGGACAGUGUAGGUCAGUGGCUGGAUGAUGCGCUCGUUGCCUUGGUAAAAGCAGAGAAAAGCUAAAAAGGGAGCAGAGGCAGGAAGAGGCCAGGUGUCCCUUGGAAGAGCCCGACAUGGCUGCUCCAGGAGCCAGAGCAGGAAAGGGAGGAGGUGUGAAGGGGCGCUGAUAGAAGGCCCAGUGCAAAUACAGACACCAGCAUCACCAAGCAUGUGUUGCAUGUGGGUUCAAUGUCCACGCCCCACAGUCAGACCACCCAGUUCCAAUAACUUUGGGUGAUCUUAGAUAAAUAACUUAAUGGAGUUCUCUGAGUCUCACCUGAAUUUCUUUAUCUAAAAAAUAGAAAUAACGAAACCUUGGGGGGUUACAAGAAGAAUUACAUGAGACAGUAUACAGACUUUGCCUGUCAUAUAGGAGACAGGAGCCACUCUAGAUGAUAGGAGCCAUUGUUUUAUUGGAAAAUAGAUAUUAAUACAUCCUACUUUGGGUAUAGGAACACCACCUCCAGGAAGCCUUCUAGGCUGGCUUUCUUUCAAGCUUCUAGAG